UACGUAGGGUGCGAGCGUUGCCCGGAUUUAUUGGGCGUAAAGGGCGCGUAGGCGGUCACGCACGUCCGUUGUGAAAUCGCUCGGCUUAACUGGGCGGGGUCAGCGGAUACGGCGUGGCUGGAGCAAGCUAGGGGGCAAUGGAAUUCCCGGUGUAGUGGUGGAAUGCGUAGAUAUCGGGAGGAACACCAGUGGCGAAGGCGGUUGCCUGGAGCUUUGCUGACGCUGAUGCGCGAAAGCGUGGGGAGCGAUCCGG
rnacentral:rRNA from 1 species